UACGUAGGGGGCAAGCGUUGUCCGGAUUUACUGGGCGUAAAGAGCGCGUAGGCGGAAGUUUAAGCAUGGCCUGAAAGCCCCCGGCUCAACCGGGGAACGGGGCUGUGAACUGGGCUUCUUGAGGGCGAUAGAGGAGAGCGGAAUUCCUGGUGUAGCGGUGAAAUGCGCAGAUAUCAGGAGGAACACCGGUGGCGAAGGCGGGUCUCUGGGCAACAACUGACGCUGAGGAGCGAAAGCGUGGGGAGCGAACAGG
rnacentral:rRNA from 1 species